UUCCUUUCACAGGAUCAUAUCUGGAGAGUUUCCAGUACUCUACUAGUCUCAGAUACAGAAGGGAGAGUCGAGCAGAGGCAUACCCAUUCCAUUCCUGGCUUGGGCAGUGGCUAGCAAGUGGAAGGCAAUCUGCUACAAGU